UUUUGAGAUGAGCACUGCCUUCAGCUCACCUCAAUCCAACGCUCACCUCACAUUUCACACACAAGGCACAAUGUUCUCCAGGCCAGCGUGACUCACCAGCCUGGAAGAAGGGUGUGCCAGACCAGACCCCCAUGAUGUCCACCAGCACGUAGCAGAAGGACAGCAGGAAGAAGGCAAAACAGGAUGUCACAAACACAUAAGACAUCGACCUGCAAACAUG